rnacentral:rRNA from 1 species
GAUGAACGCUAGCGGCAGGCUUAAUACAUGCAAGUCGUGGGGCAGCAGGUCCCGACGCAAGUCGGGAUGCUGGCGACCGGCAAACGGGUGCGGAACACGUACGCAACCUUCCUUUAAGUGGGGAAUAGCCCGGGGAAACCCGGAUUAAUACCCCGUAAUAUUAUGAGGUGGCAUCACCUUAUAAUUAUAGCUCCGGCGCUUGAAGAUGGGCGUGCGCCUGAUUAGGUAGUUGGCGGGGUAACGGCCCACCAAGCCUACCGAUCAGUAACUGGUGUGAGAGCACGACCAGUCACACGGGCACUGAGACACGGGCCCGACUCCUACGGGAGGCAGCAGUAAGGAAUAUUGGGCAAUGGACGCAAGUCUGACCCAGCCAUGCCGCGUGGAGGAUGAAGGUCCUCUGGAUU